UGGGGAAUUUUGGACAAUGGGCGAAAGCCUGAUCCAGCAAUGCCGCGUGUGUGAAGAAGGCCUUCGGGUUGUAAAGCACUUUUGUCCGGAAAGAAAUCCUUGGCUCUAAUACAGUCGGGGGAUGACGGUACCGGAAGAAUAAGCACCGGCUAACUACGUGCCAGCAGCCGCGGUAAUACGUAGGGUGCAAGCGUUAAUCGGAAUUACUGGGCGUAAAGCGUGCGCAGGCGGUUUGCUAAGACCGAUGUGAAAUCCCCGGGCUCAACCUGGGAACUGCAUUGGUGACUGGCAGGCUAGAGUAUGGCAGAGGGGGGUAGAAUUCCACGUGUAGCAGUGAAAUGCGUAGAGAUGUGGAGGAAUACCGAUGGCGAAGGCAGCCCCCUGGGCCAAAUACUGACGCUCAUGCACGAAAGCGUGGGGAGCAAACAGGAUUAGAUACCCUGGUAGUCCACGCCCUAAACGAUGUCAACUAGUUNUGGGGAUUCAUUCUAGUAACGUAGCUAACGCGUGAAGUUGACCGCCUGGGGAGUACGUCGCAAGAUUAAAACUUAAAUGAAUUGACGGGGUCAUAGCUGUUUCCU
rnacentral:rRNA from 1 species